GGGCCUUUAGCUCAGUUGGUCAGAGCACCCGGCUCAUAACCGGAUGGUCCGGGGUUCGAAUCCCUGAAGGCCCACCA
rnacentral:tRNA from 4 species